UUGUUGGAGAGUUUGAUCCUGGCUCAGGACGAACGCUGGCGGUGCGCCUUAUGCAUGCAAGUUGAGCGAAGCUUUUCAGUAGUUUACUACAGAAAAUGACUGAGCGGCGAACGGGUGAGUAACGCGUGAGCAAUCU
rnacentral:rRNA from 1 species